rnacentral:rRNA from 1 species
GACGAACGCUGGCGGCGUGCUUAACACAUGCAAGUCGAACGGUAAGGCCCUUCGGGGUACACGAGUGGCGAACGGGUGAGUAACACGUGGGUGAUCUGCCCUGCACUUCGGGAUAAGCCUGGGAAACUGGGUCUAAUACCGGAUAGGACCACUGCCUGCAUGGGUGGUGGUGGAAAGCUUUUGCGGUGUGGGAUGGGCCCGCGGCCUAUCAGCUUGUUGGUGGGGUGAUGGCCUACCAAGGCGACGACGGGUAGCCGGCCUGAGAGGGUGACCGGCCACACUGGGACUGAGAUACGGCCCAGACUCCUACGGGAGGCAGUAGUGGGGAAUAUUGCACAAUGGGCGCAAGCCUGAUGCAGCGACGCCACGUGAGGGAUGACGGCCUUCGGGUUGUAAACCUCUUUCAGCACCGACGAAGCGCAAGUGACGGUAGGUGCAGAAGAAGGACCGGCCAACUACGUGCCAGCAGCCGCAGUAA